GCCUUGGUGGCUCAGUGGGUUGAGCAUCUGGCUCCAGCUCAGGUCAUGAUCUCACGGUUUGUGGGUUCGAGCCCUGCAUCGGGCU
rnacentral:tRNA from 1 species